rnacentral:ncRNA from 4 species
AACCAUCUAGUAGCUGGUUCCCUCCG